rnacentral:rRNA from 1 species
AAUAAGCGGAGGAAAAGAAACCAACAGGGAUUGCCUUAGUAACGGCGAGUGAAGCGGCAACAGCUCAAAUUUGAAAUCUGGCCCUUGGGUCCGAAUUGUAAUUUGUAGAGGAUGAUUUUGGUGCGGUAUCUUCCGAGUUCCUUGGAACAGGACGCCUUAGAGGGUGAGAGCCCCGUACGGUUGAAUGCCUAGCCUCUGUAAAUCUCCUUCGACGAGUCGAGUAGUUUGGGAAUGCUGCUCUAAAUGGGAGGUAAAUUUCUUCUAAAGCUAAAUAUUGGCCAGAGACCGAUAGCGCACAAGUAGAGUGAUCGAAAGAUGAAAAGCACUUUGAAAAGAGGGUUAAAUAGCACGUGAAAUUGUUGAAAGGGAAGGAUUUGUGACCAGACUUUUUCUGGGCGGAUCAUCCGGGGUUCUCUCCGGUGCACUUCGCCCAGUAAAGGCCAGCAUCGGUUUUCGGCGUGGGAUAAAAGCAGUAGGAAUGUGGCUCUCUACGGGGAGUGUUAUAGCCUAUUGUAUAAUACCGCGCUGGGGACCGAGGUUCGCGCUUCUGCAAGGAUGCUGGCGUAAUGGUUAUCAAUCACCCGUCUUGAAACACGGACCAAGGAGUCGAACAUUUGUGCGAGUGUUUGGGUGUUAAACCCUCACGCGUAAUGAAAGUGAACGGAGGUGAGAGCCCUUACGGGUGCAUCAUCGACCGAUCCUGAAGUUUUCGGAUGGAUUUGAGUAAGAGCAUAACUGUUCGGACCCGAAAGAUGGUGAACUAUGCGUGGAUAGGGUGAAGCCAGAGGAAACUCUGGUGGAGGCUCGCAGCGGUUCUGACGUGCAAAUCGAUCGUCAAAUCUGCGCAUGGGGGCGAAAGACUAAUCGAACCAUCUAGUAGCUGGUU